ensembl:lncRNA
AAAAUGGUCUUAUUUGAAUAGUUUUCCUGGCCUUUGGAAGGAUCCCCUGAAUUUCUUGCUACCCAGCCCAAAGAUCUGGGUGUGCCUGCUGCCAGAAAAGCAGCUGCCAGAGCCCCCCACUGCCUGAAUGGUGUCAGUCCAGUACUCCUCUUGGAAUGUCAAUUAAUAAGAAAGGAGGUUGUCUGGGUGCAUUGGAAGAGCAACCAACGCUCUCAGGGAUGGAGGAAAAUGAGCUGCAGAUGGUUUCCUUAAUGGGUACUUUGAGCUCAUGGAAGAAAUAAGUGCAAAGAGUGAGGAGCCACUGUCUUGCAGGCCAGUCUCUUGAGAGAAAAACACAAACUCCUGGAGACAGGUGAAGUACACAGAGCUGUGCAGUUGCCUGGAAGAAAGAGGAUGCAAACGGAGGUUACAGUGGCUGCUCCUGGGGCUGCUAUUGUCCACACUGUUGCCAGGGGACCACCUCCACUUCUACUUCCUGGAAGGAGGAGCUGCAGUCACCAGAGGUCAGAAGCCCAUGGCUGCUCCUUGCUACUAAGAGGACCCUGCAGGGAUUUCUAGGAACCAGAUACGAGCUACCUGUACUGUUUCCUGUCCUGAAGGCUUUCUCCUGGGCCCCACUAAGUUUACCAAUCAGAGAAAGUCAGAUGCUUGUGUUCUCCUGGAAAGAAACAAUGGCUGCCAGUCCCCUCCCCUCCUGUGGUGACGGAGAGCAGUGGGUGCUCCAUGACGACCAGUGAGGAGGUAUGGUGGUGACUGUGAUGAUACAGACACAAUAUCAAAGGAGCCAGGAUGUGUGGGACGGGGCUUAUUCCCAGCUAUGUACCACCCAAGGGCACUGGAAACACAAUUUUCCCAGCUGUCUUCUCAGAAGCACUGAAAUGUGGUUCUCAAUUAAGGACUGUCCUAUGCCUCAGGGACCUUUGCCACAUCUGGAGAAGAAUCUGAUUGUUGUGGCUUGGUGGAGGAUGGGGCAUCUUAGUCUUACUGGAAUUUAGUGAGUAGAGACCAGGGAUGCUGCUUAAACAGCCUACAAUGCAUAGGAUGAAACCCAGAGAAAAGAAUUACCCAGCCCUAAAUGUCAGUGUAGUGCCAAGGUUGAGAAACCCUGAUCUAAGAGAAAAUGAGUGUGUGCAUGCAGCUAACAUUCCAGAGCCAUACGAAAGUGUAACUUGUACAUCAUUUUACGUCUAUAUAGAAAGCAUUCACAUAACACCGCAGUGGAUAUGGGGCAUGGAUGAGGAGGAAACAGAGAGGGGAAGGGAGCAUUUACUGAGCACCUACUAUGGCCCAGGAGCCACACUAGAGUGAAUUCACCACUCACUAUUAAAGAACAGCUGGAACUGUGUCCUGGAUCAUCUGACAUACCUCCUCCCUUUGCCAUCAAUGCCAGUGUAAAUUUGUUAGAAAGCACAGAAAUUCAAAAAUCUAGGAUGGCACUGUUAUUGAUCAGGGUGAGAAAAAUUCAACCUCAGCCACAUAUGAAGGCUCUUUCCUUCUAACUAUGUUCACUCAAGAAUCCAGGGAAGGAGGCUGAUUACAAGUGCAGUCCUCCCUGUUCUGGCUGCCCAGCCCUAAUCCUCUACCCAGGCUCAGAGCUGGACCUUCACAGAACAAGGUCUCAACCAUGGAGUAUUCCCCAUUGCCCAUGACUUCCACAGGCACCAAUGGACACUUCCUUCACCUGGAGGCUGCAAGGGAAGAGGGGCAGAGGAGCCUGCACUCACCUCAGAGUACUACCUCCAAGCAGUACUACCUUCUCUCAGAUGCAGAGAAGCAAACACUUUCCAAUUAUCCUUGCCCCCAACAUCACGAGUCUCUACAUCCCAGACAAAAUCUGAACAUUGUCUCCAGGGAGCUUGGAAACAUCUGUUCUCCUUCUGGAAGAACAACACCUGUUCCAACUCCCAGAGAGAUGACAUUCAGAGAUCUCCAUUGUCCUCUUUUCAGAGAUGACAGCUGAGAGCUACCUCAGAACAUGGGGAGAAUAAGUCCUUCAUUCCUGAAGAGGGAUCUGGGUGCAGGUCCCAGGGUCUCCCACAGUCACCCAUUAAGAAAGGACAGUGGAACUGUCUCCUCAAUCCUCUACCACAAGCCCUUUCCUUUGUCAUCAAGUCUCUGCCUGAUAGAAGGGCUCAAGUCAUCUCCAUGACUGACAUUCCAAACCAUCCUGGCAUACCUGGCAAGCCGAAGGGAUGAGGGUUGGACAAGAGCUCAACUGCAGGGCUGCAAGUGAGACUGUCCUCCUCUGCAGCACUCAGAAAGAACAGAACUCACUCCUGCCCACAGGCUGGAUAAUCCUUCACUCAGAAUCCAAAAUCUGACGUGAUUUCACUUCACUCUCUCACCAACCCAUCCCUGCUGACCUGGCUGGUCCUAUCUUGUCACUGCAGGACCCAGAAUCUAGAACUUACACAUCACAGAAUCUUAUGGAAAUUAGUAAUCAUUUUCCACUGAGGAGUUGAGACCCACAAGCAGGGUGGCUUCUCAAUACCAUGUAAUAUCUCAUCUGAGGAUGCAAAGCUGGUUCAAGAAGAGGUGGGACUAGAGCCCAUGUCUCCUGACUCCAAGAUUUUGGCAUUGGGCACCAUCCAGGCACCAUGGCAACAAGCAACCCUGCUUGAUCUGGUAUCCCUCUCUACUCUCUUCUCUGUGCCCAGCCUCACAUACAUCUCAAACAGUACCAACUCUCACCUCCACCUGCAAAGUUCUUCUUCCCCUUUGCUUUGUUAAUUCUUGCUCAUUCUUCUGAUGACUCCCUAGAAAGCUUUUCCAGACUUCCCUAGUCCCACUCUACUCUCCUUUUUCCUCUCCAAACACCCUGCAUUCAUCCAUCAUGUACACAACUCUCAGUGAGAUCUAUCAUUGUGCAAUUGUUUAUUCAAUGUAUGCCUGAAAGAAUACGAGCUCCAUGACAAGGGUACGAGAGCUGCCUUAUUCACCAGCACAACCUGUUAUGGUUUAGAUGUCCCCACAAAGCCUCAUGUGGUCAUAAGAGGCUUUUGCAGAGGUGGCUGAAUCUAGAAUAUGUGAUGCUGGGACUAAGGGUGUGUGAUUACUAAACCUGUACACUGAUUGGUUUGGCACCACCCUAAUCCUGGUAGUCUGGAUGAGAUAAAAGGGACAGAAAGGUCCCUUGUUAAGGUCCCUUGUUGCUUUUGCUACUGUGUGGGUGCCAUGAACAGUUUCUCUUCUCCAACACCUCUCUGUCACGUGCCACUCUGCCUUGCAGCCAGUUGACUAUGGACUAAAAUCUCUACAAACUAUGAGCUAAAUAAACCCUUUCCCCUUUAACUUUGAGUUCCAGGUAUUAUGUCUCAUCAAUGAGAAAAGUAACUAACACACCUCCCAGAAGGAAUAACACAGCACCCAGAAGGAAUAAAC